UCUGGGAGGGGAGUGGGGGCUGGUGGGUUAGAGCAGGGGGGGCUGGGAGCCAGGACUCCUGGGUUCUCUCCCCGGCUCUGAGAGGGGAGUGGGGGCUGGUGGGUCAGAGCAGGGGGGGCUGGGAGCCAGGACUCCUGGGUUCUCUCCCCGGCUCUGGGAGGGGAGUGGGGGCUGGUGGGUCAGAGCAGUGGGGGCUGGGAGCCAGGACUCCUGGGUUCUCUCCCCGGCUCUGGGAGGGGAGGGGGGGCUGGGAGCCAGGACUCCUGGGUUCUCUCCCCGGCUCUGGGAGGGGAGUGGGGGCUGGUGGGUUAGAGCAGUGGGGGCUGGGAGCCAGGACUCCUGGGUUCUCUCCCUGGCUCUGGGAGGGGAUGGGGGCUGGUGGGUUAGAGCAGGCGGGGCUGGGAGCCAGGACUCCUGGGUUCUCUCCCCGGCACUGGGAGGGGAGUGGGGGCUGGUGGGUCAGAGCAGG